CCUACGGGGGGCUGCAGUGAGGAAUAUUGGUCAAUGGGCGCGAGCCUGAACCAGCCAAGUAGCGUGAAGGAUGAAUGCCCUACGGGGUGUAAACUUCGUUUAUAAAGGAAUAAAGUGAGGCACGUGUGCCGUUUUGUAUGUACUUUAUGAAUAAGGAUCGGCUAACUCCGUGCCAGCAGCCGCGGUAAUACGGAGGAUCCGAGCGUUAUCCGGAUUGAUUGGGUUUAAAGGGAGCGUAGAUGGUUUGUUACGUCAGUUGUGAAAGUUUGCGGCUCAACCGUAAAAGUGCCAUUGAUACUGGCAGUCUUGCGUACAGUUGCGGUAGGCGGCAUUCGUGGUGUAGCGUU
rnacentral:rRNA from 1 species